AUACUUACCUUGUUCCGAACUCCCCAGCUCAAGAAUUGGGGGGUUCAGCUUGGAAGGCCUGCAUUGCACAUCGCGGUGUCGUUCCGGGUUUCAUUGUCCUUCGGGGCCAUGGGGGGCGGAAUUUUUGAUUUUAAACCCACGUUUU
rnacentral:snRNA from 13 species